GUCGUGCUGACAUCAUCGCACGGUGCACGUAUUUUCAGGUUUGCAAGCGGGAACUGAAACUAUUGGUUUCUCCUGCAUUUACUUUGAAAUGGAUGGUUUCUGCUCAUUCUGAUGGGUUUACUUUAGCUGCGAGGAGGAGGACUGAAGAUGGAGUCAGAUCAGCGAGCAUUGAAACGGAGCUGUGAUGGGUUUACUUUAGCUGUGAGGAGGAUUGAAAAUAACAGACGGGACACUUUUCAGAGUCAACAGCAAUACAGGAAAAUGCUGGAGCCCUCCACAUUCGAGAGAAAGUCCUCUUACAAAUGAUGUGACUUACUAGACUAAAGAAGAUAUUAAGAAUACUAUGGGGGGAGCAGUCACAGAGACUGUAAUUGUAACCCUGAAAGAAAAACUUUAAUAAACUUAAAGCUUUUAUUCUCAAGACCAUACAAGUAAUGCUAGCAUGUGCUUGCAAACCACUGGACAUGUACUUUCUGGAAUGCAUAGCAAGUUUGUCUAUCACCUGGAGCAUGGGAGCAACUGCAAAAAAAGUCAACAACAAGAGAGGAGGCACAUCUCUACUUUCAGAGGGGCAGUAUUCCCAAAAGUGAAGGAGGAAAUUAAUACCCUAAAAAAUUAAACUGACUACUACAGAUUGUGAAACAAGAACAAUAGUAGAGUCUGUAGCUACACCACUGAAACAGGAGCUUAAAUUAAAUGCAGCAACAAAAAUGUAAAGGACGCCAUGAAUGAUGGGAACAGUUGCUUGAGAACAAAUAAAGCUGCAUUGCCUGGGACUAUAAGGCAUGAUCAUUUACUAGCUGCAGCACUAGGAGAACUGCAAAAAAGACAUAAGUCCCAUUAUCAUGAACUUCAAGGAAGACAGUGAAUACUGCUAUUGGACUUUAAUAUACUCCAAAAAAGAAUAAUUCACCUUUAACACUUCCCUUUCUUAACCAUCAGGCAGUGAGUGUCCCUCGUCUACAGCUUUCGGAAUGCAGCAGGUCAUAAAGAUGAGAAAACUGAAAGCAGCUCUGUCUCUUUCACUGUAGCCUGCCAAAGUUGCUACAGCAUCUCCUGCCACAUUUGUUUCCACACAUCCACAACCCAUUUUGAUUCCUCCUACAUCCCACUGCUCUGCUUUCCACAGUCUACAUGCACUGUCCUGCAUCAUGUGGCAUGGCCAAAACAUUCUGAGAAACCUGUGGACCACUUUCCAUGGACAUGCUAACGAACUGUAAAUAUAUUUUAUGACUUAUUCUGUCAUUGCAAAACGGUGUAUAGUACUAAUGCCAGCAUUACUAAUUCAUUAAACUUUAUCUUGCUUAUUGUA